rnacentral:rRNA from 1 species
ACGCACGCUGGCGGCAUGCCUCACCCCUGCCAGUCGCACGAUGCCUUCGGGCAUAGUGGCGCACGGGUGCGUAACGCGUGGGAAUCUGCCCUUGGCUUCGGAAUAACAGUUAGAAAUGACUGCUAAUACCGGAUGAUGUCCCCCUGAGAGAUCUUGGGGACCAAAGAUUUAUCGGCCAGGGAUGAGCCCGCGUAGGAUUAGGUAGUUGGUGGGGUAAAGGCCUACCAAGCCGACGAUCCUUAGCUGGUCUGAGAGGAUGAUCAGCCACACUGGGACUGAGACACGGCCCAGACUCCUACGGGAGGCAGCAGUGGGGAAUAUUGGACAAUGGGGGGAACCCUGAUCCAGCAAUGCCGCGUGAGUGAUGAAGGCCUUAGGGUUGUAAAGCUCUUUUACCAGGGAAGAUAAUGACAGUACCUGGAGAAUAAGCUCCGGCUAACUCCGUG